ensembl:ncRNA C05C9.6 ncRNA
CCCUUUGAAUGGUGGUCGUUGGGUGCCGAAAGAGGCCCCCAAAAGUUUUGGUCAGCUUCACACAGCUUCUAACUCUAUUGUUUGCAAUUAUUAAACACUUAUUAGUUCUUAUUUGCCUUCAUUCAAUUACAACUUCCGAGCUCU